rnacentral:rRNA from 1 species
GACGAACGCUGGCGGCGUGCUUAACACAUGCAAGUCGAGCGGUAAGGCCCUUUCGGGGGUACACGAGCGGCGAACGGGUGAGUAACACGUGGGUGACCUGCCCUCAGCUCUGGGAUAAGCCUGGGAAACCGGGUCUAAUACCGGAUAUGACUCCAUGACGCAUGUUGUGGGGUGGAAAGCCUUGUGCGGCUGAGGAUGGGCCCGCGGCCUAUCAGCUUGUUGGUGGGGUGAUGGCCUACCAAGGCGACGACGGGUAGCCGGCCUGAGAGGGCGACCGGCCACACUGGGACUGAGACACGGCCCAGACUCCUACGGGAGGCAGCAGUGGGGAAUCUUGCGCAAUGAGCGAAAGCCUGACGCAGCGACGCCGCGUGAGGGAUGACGGCCUGG